UACGUAGGGUGCAAGCGUUGUCCGGAAUUAUUGGGCGUAAAGAGCUCGUAGGUGGUUCGUUAAGUCUGAUGUGAAAGCCCUGGGCUCAACCUGGGGAUUGCAUUGGAUACUGGCGAGCUAGAGUGCGGUAGAGGAUGGCGGAAUUCCCGGUGUAGCAGUGAAAUGCGUAGAGAUCGGGAGGAACAUCUGUGGCGAAGGCGGCCAUCUGGACCAGCACUGACACUGAGGCACGAAAGCGUGGGGAGCAAACAGG
rnacentral:rRNA from 1 species